rnacentral:rRNA from 1 species
CCUACGGGUGGCAGCAGUGAGGAAUAUUGGUCAAUGGACGAGAGUCUGAACCAGCCAAGUAGCGUGAAGGAUGACUGCCCUAUGGGUUGUAAACUUCUGUUAUAGGGGAAUAAAAUGUUCCACGUGUGGGAGUUUGUAUGUACCAUAUGAAUAAGGAUCGGCUAACUCCGUGCCAGCAGCCGCGGUAAUACGGAGGAUCCGAGCGUUAGCCGGAUUUAUUGGGUUUAAAGGGGGCGUAGGGGGAUUGUUAAGUCAGUUGUGAAAGUUUGCGGCUCAACCGUAAAAUGGCAGUUGAAAGUGGCAGUCUUGAGUACAGUAGAGUUGGGCGGCCUUCGUGGUGUAGCGGU